rnacentral:misc_RNA from 1 species
AGAGCAUCCCAUGCACAAUGUUGACCCUAUGUUGCUGAAACAGCCCAUCACAAUGGCAUCAUGUUAUCUGAAACAAGAGUAGGGUUAAAGUAGUUUAGAUGGUCACCAAGUUAAGACUUCAGGCUUCAAAUCCCGGUAAGAGUUCUUGAAAAAGAUACGAGGCCACUCUUCAGGCGUCAGCCCCUGGCUCUUUCGUUAUACCAAAG